rnacentral:rRNA from 1 species
UACGGAGGGUGCAAGCGUUAUCCGGAUUUAUUGGGCGUAAAGAGCUCGUAGGCGGCUAGUCACGUCGGAUGUGAAAACCCGGAGCUUAACUCCGGGCCUGCAUUCGAUACGGGCUGGCUAGAGUGUGGUAGGGGAGACUGGAACUCCUGGUGUAGCGGUGAAAUGCGCAGAUAUCAGGAAGAACACGGAUGGCGAAGGCAGGUCUCUGGGCCACUACUGACGCUGAGGAGCGAAAGCGUGGGGAGCAAACAGGAUUAGAUACCCUGGUAGUCCACGCCGUAAACGGUGGGCGCUAGGUGUGGGGAACAUUCCACGUUCUCCGUGCCGCAGCUAACGCAUUAAGCGCCCCGCCUGGGGAGUACGGCCGCAAGGCUAAA